UGGUAUAAGUUAGGUUUUUUCUUAAAAGUUAGUUUUGGUAUAAGUUAGGUUUUUUCGAAAAAGUUAGUUUUUUUAUAAGUUAGGUUUUUUCGAAAAAGUUAGUUUUUUAUGAGUUAGGUUUUUUC